GGAUGAACGCUAGCGAUGUGCCUAAUACAUGCAAGUCGAACGAGGAAAUUUAUUUCCUAGUGGCGAACGGGUGAGUAACACGUAUUUAAUUUACCCUUGCGAGGGGAAUAACUAAUGGAAACGUUAGCUAAUACCCCAUAUGUGUAAAGACAUAUGUUUUUAUUAUUAAAGGAUCGUUUUGGUCCGCGCAGGGAUAAGAGUGCGUUGUAUUAGUUAGUUGGUGGGGUAAUGGCCUACCAAGACUAUGAUGCAUAGUCGAUCUGAGAAGAUGACCGGCCACAUUGGGACUGAGAUACGGCCCAGACUUCUACGGAAGGCAGCAGUAAGGAAUAUUCCACAAUGGGCGCAAGCCUGAUGGAGCGACGUCGCGUGAUUGAUGAAGGCCUAAGGGUUGUAAAAAUCUUUUGUAAAUGAAGAAAAUUUAAUUUGAAAAGAAUUAGACUUGACGUUAGUUUACGAAUAAGUCACGGCUAACUACGUGCCAGCAGCCGCGGUAAUACGUAGGUGGCAAGCGUUAUCCGGAAUUACUGGGCGUAAAGCGUGUGCAGAUGGUAAAUUAAGUUUAGGGUUAAAGGCAGAUGCUCAACGUCUGUGUGCCUUAAAAACUAAUUAACUAGAGUAUGGGAGAGGAUAUAGGAAUUCCAUGUGUAACGGUGGAAUGUGUAGAUACAUGGAGGAACACCAUUAGCGAGGCGUAUAUCUGGAACAUUACUGACAUUCAGACACGAAAGCGUAGGUGGCAAAUAGGAUUAGAUACCCUAGUAGUCUACGCCGUAAACGAUGGAUGCUAAGCGUUGGAAUUAAUUCAGUGCUGCAGUUAACACAUUAAGCAUCCCGCCUGGGUAGUACGUUCGCAAGAAUAAAACUCAAAGGAAUUGACGGGGACCCGCACAAGCGGUGGAGCAUGUGGUUUAAUUCGAAGCAACGCGAAGAACCUUACCAAGGCUUGACAUUGUCUGCAAAACUGUGGAAACACAGCAGAGGUUAUCAGAUAACAGGUGGUGCAUGGUUGUCGUCAGUUCGUGUCGUGAGAUGUUAGGUUAAGUCCCGCAACGAACGAAACCCUCGUAUUUAGUUGAUAACAUUUAGUUGAUAACUUUAAAUAAACAGCUAUUGUAAGAUAGAGGAAGGAGAGGAUAACGUCAAAUCAUCAUGCCCCUUAUGCCUUGGGCUACACACGUGCUACAAUGGCAGUUACAAAGAGCCGCAAUACUGUAAAGUGGAGCUAAUCUCAAAAGACUGUCUCAAUCCGGAUUGAAAGCUGCAAUUCGCUUUCAUGAAGUUGGAAUCGCUAGUAAUCGCGAAUCAGCAAUGUCGCGGUGAAUACGUUCUCGGGUCUUGUACACACCGCCCGUCACACCACGAAAAUUGGAGGUACCUAAAGUCAAUGUUCUAACCAAUUUAUUUUGGAGGAAGUUGCCCAAGGUAAAUUCAGUGAUUGGGGU
rnacentral:rRNA from 1 species